rnacentral:tRNA from 1 species
GCGGAAAUGGCGGAAUUGGCAGACGCGCUAGACUUAGGAUCUAGUGCCGCAAGGCGUGGGGGUUCAAGUCCUCUUUUCCGCA